rnacentral:rRNA from 1 species
AUUGAACGCUGGCGGCAGGCUUAACACAUGCAAGUCGAGCGGGGUGAUGGUGCUUGCACUAUCACUUAGCGGCGGACGGGUGAGUAAUGCUUAGGAAUCUGCCAAUUAGUGGGGGACAACAUCUCGAAAGGGAUGCUAAUACCGCAUACGUCCUACGGGAGAAAGCCGGGGAUCACUUGUGACCUUGCGCUAAUAGAUGAGCCUAAGUCGGAUUAGCUAGUUGGUGGGGUAAAGGCCUACCAAGGCGACGAUCUGGAGCGGGUCUGAGAGGAUGAUCCGCCACACUGGGACUGAGACACGGCCCAGACUCCUACGGGAGGAAGCAGUGGGGAAUAUUGGACAAUGGGGGGAACCCUGAUCCAGCCAUGCCGCGUGUGUGAAGAAGGCCUUAUGGUUGUAAAGCACUUUAAGCGAGGAGGAGGCUCUUUUGGUUAAUACCCAAGAUGAGUGGACGUUACUCGCAGAAUAAGCACCGGCUAACUCUGUGCCAGCCGCCGCGGUAA